rnacentral:rRNA from 1 species
UACGUAGGGUGCGAGCGUUUAAUCGGAAUUACUGGGCGUAAAGCGUGCGCAGGCGGUCUGUUAAGACAGAUGUGAAAUCCCCGGGCUUUAACCUGGGAACUGCAUUUGUGACUGGCAGGCUAGAGUAUGGCAGAGGGGGGUAGAAUUCCACGUGUAGCAGUGAAAUGCGUAGAGAUGGUGGAGGAAUACCGAUGCGAAGGCAGCCCCUGGGCCAUACUGACGCUCAUGCACGAAAGCGUGGGAGCAAACAGG